GCUGUGAGGCAGCUCCACCAAUGCUUGGAGGGGCGAGCUAAUUGUGUCAAAGUUCUCCGUAUGUGAUCAAGCACUUCGCUGGCUAUUGUGGCCGCCAGCGAGGGGGAAGUGUAAAUGUCCAAGAGCUUGUGCUAACUUUCACCGCAACAGAUCCAGACUGCUACAUGGUGUUGCUAAGCUGCUGUUCUCUACACUGUAUGUUUGUAUGACUGGUAUGGUUCUUAGACUGUGCAUAUUUUACAUGUGUGUUUUGUUUGCCCCUUCUAGCCUGUGGCUAGGUGUAUGUAAGAGCGUAUAG